rnacentral:rRNA from 1 species
GAUGAACGCUAGCGGCAGGCUUAACACAUGCAAGGUCGAGGGGGCAGCAUGAACCGACCUUCGGGAAGGUUUGAUGGCGACCGGCGCAAGGGUGCGUAACGCGUGAGCAACUUGCCCGUUUCUGGGGAAUAACCGGUGGAAACGCCGACUAAUACCCCAUAGCAUCAACUUAGGGCAUCCUUAGUUGAUUAAAGAUUUAUCGGUAACGGAUGGGGAUGCGUUCCAUUAGCUUGUUGGCGGGUAACGGCCACCAAGGCUUCGAUGGAUAGGGGUUCUGAGAGGAAGGUCCCCCACACUGGAACUGAGACACGGUCCAGACUCCUACGGGAGGCAGCAGUGAGGAAUAUUGGUCAAUGGUCGGAAGACUGAACCAGCCAAGUAGCGUGAAGGAUGAAGGUUCUAUGGAUUGUAAACUUCUUUUGUAUGGGAAUAAAGCCCGCUACGUGUAGCGGUUUGUAUGUACCAUACGAAUAAGCAUCGGCUAACUCCGUG